rnacentral:tRNA from 1 species
AUUUAUUUAGUAUAUAAGUACAUUUGAUUUCCAAUCAAAAAGCCUAAAUAUUUAGAAUAAAUA